rnacentral:misc_RNA from 1 species
CAACUAUCUUGUUCACUGUUGCAGUUGGAUUGGUUUGGUUGAUGGGUGCGGCUGCACUUCAAAAGUAUAUUGGAGGCCUUGGGGGAAUAGGAACUUCAGGAGUUGGCUCAAGCUCUUCUUAUGCACCCAAGGAGUUGAAUAAAGAAGUUACGCCAGAGAAAAAUGUUAAAACAUUUAAGGAUGUCAAAGGUUGUGAUGAUGCAAAACAGGAGCU